UGUUGGUUGAAUUACGCCCUCUGGUGAUAGAACGGUGUUAGUAGCAGCCUCCUGUUGUAGCUUUUUCCCUAAUAGCUGUUUCUCCUCUAAGCUUUCUUCCUUUAAAUUUUCUUCCUCUGUCUGACUAGCUUGAGAGACCUUCUCUUUUGCUUGAUCUAAAAUGUCUUUCUCCAUGGUCUGAACCUCUAACAAUUUACUUAACACUCUUUCAGUUUGUUUUUUACUAAUUUCUAAUCUGUUAUAAAGAUAACGCAACCCAGUAAGAUAACACAAAACAAAACUGAAACAGAAUGAAACAAAACCGGAACAAAAAAUCGUUGUAUCAAUUUUCCUAUUUUCUUGACAUGUGCAUUUGUGGUCUAUUUCUAUCUCUUCCUCAGGGGCGAACAACUUCAAACCUUGAGCCAACCAUUUUUCCCAAUCUGCCUGAGAAAAUUCUAGGGAUAGGCAGCUUGAAACAAACACAAAACAAAUCAAAACAAGAACACAUUGUUUUUUAAAAUGGUCACCCAUUCUCUCGCCUUCCCUUAGGGGCAAGCAAUUUCACUUACCCAGAAGCUUCAGACGUUCCCCGAAUGGGCCGCCAAAUGCCGCAGUCUGGUUGGGCACAAAUCAUGAGCCACUGAAGCAGGAACAAACUUUAUUUUUAAACUGCAGGAAAACACUUCACACAGCUCCCGGGGAAUCCUCCCGAACGCGCCAGGAGGCUUGUCCAGGAACCCCCAGCCGGAAAUAUCUCUCCCGGAAAUCCCUCCUCCUGCACUUCCCCAACCAAUGGGAACUCUCGGGGAAUCCCCGGAAAUCCCCAUGAGAACAACAAAAUAGUGCGAGAACUCAAAAGUUGCGGCAGAGGCGGAUAGUAAUGCCUCGCCUGUCAAUCAAUACUGUUGGCAAAAUGCCAGGGGCCAUACAGACUCGGCCGUGGCUCUCAGCAAUAUAUAUAUAUUUUUUGUAUAUGACCCUAAAAGCAAAAAUAGGCAAGUAGAUUAGAUGAAACUUAAAAGCUCUCACACAACAGUCAACAGACUGAGUAGACAUCCUACAAAAUAGGAGAUAAUAUUUGCCAAUUAUUCAUAUCACAAAGGAUUAAAAUUGACAAAGGUAAGGAACAAAGAAAACUUAACAAAAAACACCAGGUAAUACAAUGAAAAUGGGAAAAUAAUCUUAAUAGGCACUUCUCAAAAGAAGAAAUAUGACUAACCAAUAAAUAUAUUUUUAAAAUGCUCAUUAUCAUGAGCCACCAGGGGAAUGCAAAUCAAAAAUACCAAGAGAUAUCAUUAUGCCCUGAUUAAAAUGGCUAACAUCAAAACACAAAAACAAAAAUAAGAAACCAAAAUUACCACUGUUGCCAUCACAACAAAUAACAAAUUUUGGAGAGGUGUGCAGAAAAAUUAAACCUUAUACCUGUUGGUGGAAACGUAUAUCAGGAUAGCCAUUUUGGAAAAGAGUAUGGAGUUUCCUCAAAUUUAAACAGAUCUUCCAUAUAAUCCAGGUGUCCUGCCUCUGGUACACAGAUGGAAGAAAUGAAAUCAACAUGCAACAUACAUUCUUGCAUGUUGAAAAUAAUAUGACACUAUUCAUAAUAACUAUGAUAUCAUAUUAAAUUAUGUGUGAAUAAAGAAAAUCUGUUACAUAUAUACAAUAUAUUUGUAUUCACUCAUAAAGAAUAAAAAAAUCUUGUCAUUUGCAGCAAAGAAGAGAGAACUGAAGACCUUUGUAAGUAGGAGGUGAGAAAAAGAAAGACAAGUAUUACAUGGUCUCUCUUAUGUGUGGAAGGUAAAAUAGAUAUGAACCUGAAAGUUGAAGAGUGAUUUGUGGAGAUGGGGAUGUGUGUGUGCUGGUGGUGAGGAGGGUAGGGAGAUGGAGAGGAUGAAUUUUAACAGUAUAUGCUGCACACAUGUGUGCGAAUACCAUAGUGACUUUCAUUAAUGUGGACUGAUUACAUGUUAAUAAAAAACACAAUAGAAUAAUCUAAAAACAAACAAACAAAAAAUGAUGCAAAGAAAGCAUAGAGCAUUGGGUAAGACUAAAGCUUUCAAGUCAUGUACUCCAUUGACAGGCUCUUUAAACGUUCCAGCAUUCUAAGCUUCGAGAACAAAGAUUUAUUUCAGCUAUGGAGUUAAAGGGUAAUUUGGGAAGCCUGGGAAUUUCUAUGUGUCAUUCACUUGUAAAGUCUGAUUUUUAGUCUUUCUUUUUAGUUAAUUUGAAAGAGAAAUUUAAAAAUGGAGCAAUCGAGAUUCAAGCUGAGAAUCAGAGACACUGUGAAAAGCACUUCAUGGGUUAGUAGAAAAGACAGGGAGAGGUGAUUACCAUAAUCAUGAUUAAUGAGACUAUCAAGGAGUGGAAAACCAUAGAUUAGUAUGAUUACUAGUUGAAAUUGUAGGCACUGGCCUUGGAAGAAACUUUGUGAGAAGUGAGACAGCAAAAGUGACUGGACAACCACAGUCCAAUACAGUGAAAGCAUACAACACUUGCUUCAGCUCCACAGGGUCUAAAGCAGUUACUUCCACUGUGUCCAAUGGACAAUGGUGAAGCUGUGGAGUGGGAAACUCAAAAAUAUGCCAUGGGGGAAACUCUGAUCUUUAAAAUUUUAAGAUAAUACAUCUCUAAACUCUGUGUCUUCAUUAUGCAGUGAUUUGAAAACAUUGAUAAAGCUUCAUUAUGCAAUGAUUUGAAAACACUGAUAAAGCACAGGCAGCAAAGAUAAACCAACUCGGGCUCUCUGCUUCAAAUCAUCCCUUCUCCAUAAGGACUGAAUGGACCAAUAAUUAUAGGUCUGGCUCUUGCUGAAAUGUAUCCAUUAGAAACAGAAAAGAACACUCUGUUAAGGAUGGCGAUAUGAUGAAUCACUCACUUUUGGUCUUCUUCAACUCCUCUACAAGGCAGCAGGCUUCCUCUUGAACUCAGUGUUUGUCUUCACUAUCCCAAAAUUCUGCAGAGUCAUGAAAUGAGAAGUGCUUAUCCUUUUUCUUAAAUGAGGGGGAGCACAAUCUAGGAAGGAUAUCCCAGUCGGGGUAGAGGACGUUGACUCGUGGUAGCCAUAGAUUUGGUCAAGCUCAAUGUGGCUUUCUCUUUUUCAUUCUUCUCCUCCCCAUGACCAUUGCUCAGCCACCUCACAUGCAUGCACACUUACCAAGUCCUUCAGUAACUCUGUCAACCACAGGGAAACUGCCUCUUCCAGAAAAUACUUCCCCAUCAAUCAAGGCUUCCUUCACAGUUUCAUAUCCAUGCAACACCACAGUGGGCCUCGUACCCAAAUACACAUUGAACACAGGGCCAUAGGCUUUUGACAACUGGAAAGGAGAAAGAAAGUGCAGAUAUUAGCUGAAGAAGAUCAGCAUUUGAUCUACACGUUCGGAAUGAUUCAGACUGUUAUUCAGUUUAUUAUCAUUAUAUUUAUUAUAUAUUACAGAGCCAUAAGAAUCUUCAAAUAUCUCUGACUUGUGUUCACAAACUGAUGGCAAUCAUAGCUGUCAUGUAUGUGCCAUGCCUGGGUCAGGUGGUUGAUAUCUACACUAUAAUUAAUCCUCACAUUGAUGCAUUUACUUAUUUGUCCUGUUUUACAUGCAAAAGAAAUGAAGUCAGAGAGUUACAAGCUCAUUUGUAGUGUACCAUGUCUAAUAAACAGAAGAAUCAAAUUUGAACAUUUAUUCUUCAACUUCUGAAGUUUAACAACUUAUCAGUACCCAGUGCUUAUCCACCUUUGCACCAACACCCAGCUGAUUUCUUCUGGGUUAUUAGCAGGGCAUAGAGACUUUCAUUGAAUAAGCCCACAAUGAAUACUGGAAGUCUAUAUUUUUAAAAGUGACUCCAGAUGAUCUGAAGAUUUGUAGGUUGAGACCACAGCUAUUACUAACACAGCAAGAGAGUGAGUACCAGAGAGGCAGCACCAGGCCAUGCAGCAUAUCAUGGAAGAACAAUUUCUCUUGCCCAGCAACAAUUCAUAAGGUAUUGUCUGAACAUUUGUGUAAAACCCCCAAAGAUUCUGUUACUACCCAGUGGACCCUGAGUGGUUAAUUUUUUCCUUUACUCUCUUAUGCUUAUUCUCAGUUCAUAGGUUUCUUAUUAUUAAUUGCUUUAUUGAGGAAUGAUGGAGAAAUAAAAACUAUACAUAUUUGUAGUGUAAAACAUGACAUUGUGAUUUAUGUAGACAAUGCAUCCCAGCCCCAAACAAUCACCAUUCUAGUCUCUAUUGCUAUGAGUUGGAGGCUUUUUGGUUUGUUUUGUAAGAUUCCACAUGUAAGUGAGAUUACAUAGUGAAGAACUUUCUGUGUGUGUGGCUAUUUCCCUCAUCAUAAAGUCCUCCGGCCUCAUUCCAUAUUGUGGUAAGUAGUAGGAGGUCUUAUUUUUUUUUUUUUAAGGCUGAACGAUAUUCUAUUUUAUGUGUAAAUCACAUUUGAAUUAUGCACUCAGCCACUAGUGGCUGCUUAGGUUGGUGUCCUUUCUUGACUAUUGCAGAUAAUGCUGAAGUGAAUAUGGAGUGUGAACACCUUUUGGACAUACUGAUUUCAUCUCUUUGGCUAUAUACCAAGAAGUAGGGCUACUGGAUCAUAUGAAAUGAUGAAGCUGGGCCUCAGAGAUGCAAUGACUUGGCCAAGGGCACACAGACUGCACAUUGCCACAGUCUGGCUGGGCACAAAUCACGAGCCACUCAAGCAGGAACAAACUUUAUUUCCAAACUCCACCAGCACACUCCCCGGGAACUCUCCGGAACGCCACCCAUGCAGCUCCUCCAGGAACACCCCACAGGGUAAUAACUCCAACAAAGGAAAAAGCCCACCAAUCCUUUAUUUAAAGGGAAGCACAUCAAAGAGAUUUAUUGUCAGGAAGGCUUUUUCAAGGGAGACAUAGUCAGCAGGAGCAGACUAAUUGGGGCGUAUCUACUUGUGUGAUAUUUUCAUCUUGCUUCAGAUACCUGGCACCUCAUGGCUGUUCAGCAUGCCUAUAUUUCUUUCACACUAUGGCUGCAGGCAUCUGAAGCAGUAGAACUUAUAAAUCCCACACAAGACACAGAAUCUUUGUCAUUAAGAGUGGCCACCUGCAAAUGAGCAUGUCUUUUAGCACUGUUGUAUGAGAUAAACCCAAAAGGGCAGUCUAGUUGUCCACGGUGAAAAAGUUCAAAGCAAUGAUUCAUUUGCCACUGCCAACAAUGUUUUUAACAUCCUUUACAUUACUUAGUUUAUAUAAUUUCUCUCCCCACUAUAUAUGCUGUCAUAGUUAUGAAUACUGUGUAUUCCAUAAUUGAUACCUGGAGUUUAUUUUAAUGCUAUCUCUAGUUCACAGUUAUUUGUUGUUGCUGUUAUUAAUAGCUGACUUCAAUAUGCCUGUUUGUGUGGUUAUUAGUGCCAUAGAUGUUAUACUAGGGACUGUUUUUUAAAAUGCUUAAUAUUGUUUGUUGCUCUUGUUAUUCUUUCAUUUUCUUUUUUUUUAAUUAAAUUAUUUAUUUAUUCUAA